CACCGCGGUUAUACGAGAGGCUCAAGUUGAAACCACACGGUGUAAAAAGUGGAUAAAACACAACUCAUUAAAGCUAAACAUCUUCUAUGCUGUUAUACGCUCAUGAAGACAGGAAGCCCUUUUACAAAAGUAGCUUUAAAAUAAAAUUACCACUAAAGCUAAAAUA
rnacentral:rRNA from 1 species